AGGGGCGUAGCUCAGUUGGAAGAGCGGCGGUCUCCAAAACCGCAGGUCGGGGGUUCGAGACCCUCCGCCCCUGCCA
rnacentral:tRNA from 1 species